rnacentral:lncRNA from 1 species
UGGAUGGUAGGUACUGUGUGAUGCUCUGGGGAGGAGGGAAUGAGAUUUCCCCUGUACCCCACUACCUUCAUGAAGCCUGCAGUCCAGUGCGGGGUGUCAAAUUUUGUGAAAAGGGCCAGAUAAACAUUUUGGGUGUUGUGAACAAUACGAUCUCUGUCACAACUACUCACCUGUGCCAUCGGAGAUGCCCCCAAGGCUCAGGAAGCACCAUGGAAGAGGGAGCGGGAAGACUGUCAGAGCCAAAGGUCGGGGAAAACCAGAGCAGAACAUUGUCAUCUGGACAUGACAGGGCUCCUGCACCAACGAACUCACAUCGGCC